rnacentral:rRNA from 1 species
CACGCCUACGGGACGCAGCAGUGAGGAAUAUUGGUCAAUGGGCGCGAGCCUGAACCAGCCAAGUAGCGUGAAGGAUGACUGCCCUACGGGUUGUAAACUUCUUUUAUAAAGGAAUAAAGUGAGGCACGUGUGCCUUUUUGUAUGUACUUUAUGAAUAAGGAUCGGCUAACUCCGUGCCAGCGGCCGCGGUAAUACGGAGGAUCCGAGCGUUAUCCGGAUUUAUUGGGUUUAAAGGGAGCGUAGAUGGGUUGUUAAGUCAGUUGUGAAAGUUUGUGGUUCAACCGUAAAAUUGUAAUUGAUAUUGG